UCAAGGAGCACCAUCUGAUUCCCAUCCAGCCCCUCAUUUGGUGACUAGAGAGUCAAGGAGUGAUCAGUAGAACCUGCUCAUCCUUUAAGACUCCCACACUGGGUGCCAAAUAGGAUUUGUGAUUUAACUCCAGCUGGCAGCUAAAUGCCACUCACCCUGCUGCUCACUCACCCUGCUGCCCCCAGUGCAUGGGGAGAACUGCAAAAAGACGGGAAAAGGCAGAGGAGAAUAACUUGUGUUGGACAUUUCUUAGCAGCAGCUGGCAGCAGUCGUGAUCUGCUUACUUUCCUGGAUGUAACAUUUUGAAAUAAAGAAGAUAAACUUGAGAAAACAGCCUAUAUAUACA